rnacentral:tRNA from 1 species
GCCUGGGUGGCUCAGUCGGUUAGGCGUCUGACUUCGGCUCAGGUCAUGAUCUCAUGGUCCGUGAGUUCGAGCCCCACGUCAGGCU